UACAACUUACAGAAGUCGAACCUAUAUUUAUUGAUUUUGAAAAUCAACGCUUUUCCACUAAGCUAAAGAUGC
rnacentral:tRNA from 1 species